rnacentral:rRNA from 1 species
UCAAAUUUGUAAUCUGGCGCUUUCGGCGUCCGAGUUGUAAUCUCGAGAAGUGUUUUCCGCGUCAGACCGCACACAAGUCUCCUGGAACGGAGCGUCACAGUGGUGAGAACCCAGUACACGGUGCGGAUGCCUGAUGCUUUGUGAUACACUUUCGAAGAGUCGAGUUGUUUGGGAAUGCAGCUCAAAUUGGGUGGUAAAUUCCAUCUAAAGCUAAAUAUUGGCGAGAGACCGAUAGCGAACAAGUACCGUGAGGGAAAGAUGAAAAGCACUUUGGAAAGAGAGUUAACAGUACGUGAAAUUGUUGGAAGGGAAACGCUUGAAGUCAGACUUGCUAUUCGGAGCUUGCUUCGAUUCGCAGGCCCGCAUCAGUUUUCCGGGGCGGAAAAUCGUAAGGAGAAGGUAGCAGUUUCGGCUGUGUUAUAGCUCUUUACUGGAUUCGUCCUGGGGGACUGAGGAACGCAGCGUGCUUUUUGCAUGGGCUUCGGCCCAUCCACGCUUAGGAUGCGGGUGGAAUGGCUUUAAACGACCCGUC